rnacentral:rRNA from 1 species
UACGUAGGGUGCAAGCGUUGUCCGGAAUUAUUGGGCGUAAAGGGCUCGUAGGCGGUUUGUCGCGUCGGGAGUGAAAACCUUGGGCUUAACUCAGGGCUUGCUUUCGAUACGGGCAGACUAGAGGUAUGCAGGGGAGAACGGAAUUCCUGGUGUAGCGGUGAAAUGCGCAGAUAUCAGGAGGAACACCGGUGGCGAAGGCGGGUCUCUGGGCAACUACUGACGCUGAGGAGCGAAAGCGUGGGGAGCGAACAGG